CAUGCCAGGGUAUGUGUAUACUGUAUACGCAUGUUUGAAGAAACUUAAUACUUGUGAGAAUUUUUUGGCUUGAAGGCUACGUGUUAUCUCCUUAUGUGUGUCCUUGUGCUGUGCUAAUGGAGAGGCACUAGACUCGUUUUCAUGGACGGUGUUCCUCAGAGUCUCAGACAUAGGCUAUUGGGGGGGGGGGGGGGUUAGCUGGGUUGUCCCUGUUACUGUUUUUGGUCACAAUCAGGCGCAGUAUAAAAAAAAUUUAAGCAAUGUACGGGGGCAUUAAUUUUCUGCACCGUUUUGUUUUUUUUUUUUUAUGGGAGAAGAAUGAUAAGGAAAUUCUUGGUAUAAAUUUUGGCAUCUUUACAGACUUACAGUUUUUAGCUUCUCUUAGGUGCACACUUCUAACAAUUUUCCUAAUGUGUCCCUUCCAGAAAUAAUGGUGGCAACUUAAUUAGUUCACCUACAGUGCAUGAAUCUGGUGCUUUUGAUUCCAGAAUACUUUUGACUACUACUUAUUUCUAUUUCUUGUUGGUUAUUUAGCUAGUACUUUGUUAUAUUUCGGGGUGCUAUUUUGUUUUUCAGACUUGGAAUGCUUAUCUUUUGGUGCAUGGGGAGUCAAAUGGAGCGGAAGUAUAGUGACUAGCCAUCUAACAAAUGGUGCAUAUAUGUUGGCGACUCUUAUUCAAGUUCCGGCUUUGUGAAGAUUUGGAUAUUUCGGCUUAUGUAUAUGUUGACAAUUUGUAUUUUGGACGAUCAAAUUAAUUAUCUAACUUUUAUUUAUUAUUAGUAGGGUAUGUCAUACCAAAAAUAGGCAAGUAAUAUCUUGUAAUGUACGUAUUUUGCAUUAUAAUUAUUAUAUAUAAAUGAUACUUUAAUUUGUUUA